GCGCAGACGCUAACUAACAGACUAUGAACACAUACGGAUUGAAAGAAAAUUAAGGUUUUUAUUGAAAGCAGUUAAAAAUGUUAGUAUUCUUUUCCCAUCCACGAUUCGUGACUCCAUCUGGUGAAUAAAUUUAAAAAUGGAAUGUGUAAAAUGAAAAUUUUUUAAAAAUUAUUUAUAUUUUUCCAACUUCCAUCUAGUGAAUAAACUGACUUCUAUUUGAUAUAAAAGAAAGAGAGAAAUUGCGAGGAAUUUGAUAAAUAAUGAAUAAAUAAAAUAGUUAAAGACUUGCUUUGAAACAGUAAUCUCAUGAUAAUUUGUGGACAAUAAAGACACAUAAAUAAAAUCAAACUUUUUUUAUUCAAUAAAAAGUGAGUACAAUAUUUACAAUAGUUACCUCAUUAUUUGGAGGAUGAAACAAUGAAAAAAAAAUUGUCAAUCACAAUGAUUUCAUUUUUACAAAUUUUUGGUAAAUAGAUUCACUUAAAAGAGAUGGGAAAUGUGCUGCGCGAAUAUAAAAAUAAAUAAAUAAAAUAAAUGGGGAGUUACAUGCUCCCAAUUUUAAAGUGUCCGUAUGCUAAAGUAUCGCACCCAUUUUCUAAGAUAUAUCGUUUAUCAUCUAACGGACAAAGGGCUAAUUUAUUAGUGGUAAUGGAAAAUAAGUCGUGAUUUUUUGACACGAUAGUUUUCAUGUUCUCACGGAUUCGACAGUUAUCGAAAAGACAUUUUUUAAAUGAAGUGUGUUUUAAUCGUUUUUCCCUCACAUGCUUUGUAACACCCUUUGCCGUUUUCUUUUCACCAUUUUCGGAUAGUAAUGAAUACAUUUUUGAUCGAAGACCGACAAACUCCCUUACAAUUGUUCCGUUCAAUUCAUCCUUCAUUUUACCAGGUAUCUUACGAUUUUUCGUGUCGUACAAAUCGAGGUGAUGGGACAUGUCGAGGUAGACAUCUUCGGUCAGAAUCUCAUAACAAAGAGAGUCGGUAUCAGUAAAGAGUAAUUUCGCUUUACUACCAUAUUUAUUUUUAAUAUGGUUGUAAUGAAAUUCAUACAUAAAGGUUUUAAUGAUAUCUAAAACUGAGAAACCAGUAUAUAUAGAACUAUUGAGAGUGAGUGACGUGAUCUGCCGAGUUAUAAUAACCAGAUUAUCAUCAAUAAUUUUAAAAGAUUGGAAUGAAGGGGAUGCAAUUAAUUUUAGGGCUUUUUUCUUAUCUGUGACUAUGUCAAUAUUCAGACGAUUACGCACGUUCUCCAUACUUUUCCCAAAGACUGCAUUGUUCAUCAGUUUCCAAAAAUCUUUAUCAAAAGAAUUAGCUGCAUUUUUCCUCAUGUUGGUGUUAAAAUCAAUAUACGGGCGGAGCCAGGGUUCCUGCUUAAAUUAUAAAAUUUUGUGUAGUUUUAAUCCUAAUUUUAAAUAUAAUUUUAAGUUUCUAUAAUGCACGAUAUACUUAUUUUUACUCUUCAAAUUAGGUACGAGUUUUGAUACAUUACAGUUUUUUGUUGCAUUUAACUCAGAGUCGGCUCUUUGAGAGUAUGGGGAGAGCAUUUCUGAUGUUAUUUUCUCCUGUUCUGGAGCUACAGGUAAAUCGUUAUGCAAAUCAUGUAGCUCUGCGGGAUAUUCCAAAUCAACUUCAAGAAUCAUUCCCCCCCCCCUUCAUCUGACAUUGAUAUGAUGUAUUCUUCAGAUAUAUCCAAAUUUUGUGACCACUGAAAGCCUCUGGUCGGCAAAUAGCUCCCUAAAGAAAAGGAAAAAACGUUGAAUUAAAACAUUCUUAAUGGAAAAGGGUCCGAAGCUAUAAACAUUUCUUUAGCACUACGCAUUAACAUAGUAGUAUU